AGAACGAACGCUGGCGGCAUGCCUAAUACAUGCAAGUCGAACGAACUCUUCGGAGUUAGUGGCGCACGGGUGCGUAACGCGUGGGAAUCUGCCCCUGGGUUCGGAAUAACAGUUGGAAACGACUGCUAAUACCGGAUGAUGACGAAAGUCCAAAGAUUUAUCGCCCAGGGAUGAGCCCGCGUAGGAUUAGCUAGUUGGUGAGGUAAAGGCUCACCAAGGCGACGAUCCUUAGCUGGUCUGAGAGGAUGAUCAGCCACACUGGGACUGAGACACGGCCCAGACCUCCUAACGGGAGGCAGCAGUAGGGGAAAUAUUGGACAAUGGGGCGCAAAGCCUGAUCCAAGC
rnacentral:rRNA from 1 species